AUUUUUGUUUUUUUUGUUUUUCUAUGCCUUAGAUGAAUGCUGACUCAAGAGUAUAAACAAUGCAACACACACUUCCUGAGCCUUCCCCCAAACUUAAAUCACAUAGUCCACUGUGUGACUAAACUUGGAAGAGAGUAUACAAGACAAAUCCAAUCACAUAAACAAAAUAAAGAACAAAUCACAAGAGAUGAUAUAGUACAAUAGUGAAGUGAGGUGCUUACCUCUGUCGAAGAAUGAACGGAGUUGGUCGUCAAUGGCUGCCUAUGAUUGCUCCCAGGCCAUAGACGAGCCGCCCUGUUCUGUGUCAGCUCCACCAUGUGGGUACUCAACCUCAUCAGCUCUGUGGCGGCCAGCACCGCUUUGAAGAUACUCGACCUCUCUUCUUCUACUACAACCAGCAUCGCGGUCACGUAAACUACGAGACUGCAAAAGUCGUCUGCUCCUGCUGCUAGAUCGAGUGAGUGUGGUUCUCCUCUUUCUCCCAGAUUCACGAGACUCAAAUGAUGAAUGCCUCGCUAGGACAUGCGGAAUCUCUCGCAGGGAUAAACUCCCUUUAAGACUAUGUAUCUUCUGUUGGUCGAGUAAAAUGAUGAUUUAAAUUUUUUUGGGUUUUAAACAUCACUCAUACUCGACCGAUAUACUCGAGUGCAAGGUCUCCAGGUGCAACAGAAAGUUUUAAAAUUUUUUCACUCCUCUGUACUUUGUACUCGAUCUCUAUGCCAUCUGUAGAGAAAAAGUUUU
rnacentral:sRNA from 1 species